GAAUAAGAAAUCAUCUGAGCUCAUCAUCAACUCCAACCGCUCUUCUUUCUCCUCAACAGAAACUAUCCGUCUCAAAGAUUUUUAACUUUAUACUAAACAAAAUAAAGGUAAGUAAGACAUAUUUGCACAUGAACACUAAACAACAGAUGUGUCUUCAAAUUAACAACUAAGCAGCAUAAAUUUUCAAGCCUCUAAAAAGAGCAUCAUCAGCCUAAAAACCCCCCGAAAAACCAUUGCAAUAUUCCAAAGAAAUUUACUUUUUCUUUCUUUCCUAAACUUUGAAGACCACCAGACAAAGAUCCCCAAUUUCAGCAAUCAAAACCAACAAAACUCAACAUACUCUAGCCCAAUUUCGAAAACCCCACACUGAAAAUGAGAUUGACUGGCCGGAGAUUAUGAGAGAUUGCCGUCGGCGAGAUAUUGAGAGAAAGAUCGAGAUUUCGUAGUGGG
rnacentral:lncRNA from 1 species